rnacentral:rRNA from 1 species
GAUGAACGCUGGCGGCGUGCCUAAUACAUGCAAGUCGAGCGAACGGACGAGAAGCUUGCUUCUCUGAUGUUAGCGGCGGACGGGUGAGUAACACGUGGAUAACCUACCUAUAAGACUGGGAUAACUUCGGGAAACCGGAGCUAAUACCGGAUAAUAUUUUGAACCGCAUGGUUAAAAAGUGAAAGACGGUCUUGCUGUCACUUAUAGAUGGAUCCGCGCUGCAUUAGCUAGUUGGUAAGGUAACGGCAUACCAAGGCAACGAUGCAUAGCCGACCUGAGAGGGUGAUCGGCCACACUGGAACUGAGACACGGUCCAGACUCCUACGGGAGGCAGCAGUAGGGAAUCUUCCGCAAUGGGCGAAAGCCUGACGGAGCAACGCCGCGUGAGUGAUGAAGGUCUUCGGAUCGUAAAACUCUGUUAUUAGGGAAGAACAUAUGUGUAAGUAACUGUGCACAUCUUGACGGUACCUAAUCAGAAAGCCACGGCUAACUACGUG